AUUGAACGCUGGCGGCAGGCUUAACACAUGCAAGUCGAGCGGUAGCACAAGAGAGCUUGCUCUCUGGGUGACGAGCGGCGGAUGGGUGAGUAAUGUCUGGGAAACUGCCUGAUGGAGGGGGAUAACUACUGGAAACGGUAGCUAAUACCGCAUAACGUCGCAAGACCAAAGAGGGGGACCUUCGGGCCUCUUGCCAUCAGAUGUGCCCAGAUGGGAUUAGCUAGUAGGUGGGGUAAUGGCUCACCUAGGCGACGAUCCCUAGCUGGUCUGAGAGGAUGACCAGCCACACUGGAACUGAGACACGGUCCAGACUCCUACGGGAGGCAGCAGUGGGGAAUAUUGCACAAUGGGCGCAAGCCUGAUGCAGCCAUGCCGCGUGUGUGAAGAAGGCCUUCGGGUUGUAAAGCACUUUCAGCGAGGAGGAAGGUGGUGAACUUAAUACGUUCAUCAAUUGACGUUACUCGCAGAAGAAGCACCGGCUAACUCCGUGCCAGCAGCCGCGGUAAUACGGAGGGUGCAAGCGUUAAUCGGAAUUACUGGGCGUAAAGCGCACGCAGGCGGUUUAUUAAGUCAGAUGUGAAAUCCCCGGGCUCAACCUGGGAACCGCAUUUGAAACUGGCAAGCUAGAGUCUCGUAGAGGGGGGUAGAAUUCCAGGUGUAGCGGUGAAAUGCGCAGAGAUCUGGAGGAAUACCGGUGGCGAAGGCGGCCCCCUGGACGAAGACUGACGCUCAGGUGCGAAAGCGUGGGGAGCAAACAGGAUUAGAUACCCUGUAGUCCACGCUGUAAACGAUGUCGAUUUGGAGGUUGUGCCCUUGAGGCGUGGCUUCCGGAGCUAACGCGUUAAAUCGACCGCCUGGGGAGUACGGCCGCAAGGUUAAAACUCAAAUGAAUUGACGGGGGCCCGCACAAGCGGUGGAGCAUGUGGUUUAAUUCGAUGCAACGCGAAGAACCUUACCUACUCUUGACAUCCAGAGAACUUCCCAGAGAUGGAUUGGUGCCUUCGGGAACUCUGAGACAGGUGCUGCAUAGCUGUCGUCAGCUCGUGUUGUGAAAUGUUGGGUUAAGUCCCGCAACGAGCGCAACCCUUAUCCUUUGUUGCCAGCGGUUCGGCCGGGAACUCAAAGGAGACUGCCAGUGAUAAACUGGAGGAAGGUGGGGAUGACGUCAAGUCAUCAUGGCCCUUACGAGUAGGGCUACACACGUGCUACAAUGGCAUAUACAAAGAGAAGCGACCUCGCGAGAGCAAGCGGACCUCAUAAAGUAUGUCGUAGUCCGGAUUGGAGUCUGCAACUCGACUCCAUGAAGUCGGAAUCGCUAGUAAUCGUAGAUCAGAAUGCUACGGAGAAUACGUUCCCGGGCCU
rnacentral:rRNA from 1 species